UACGUAGGGUGCGAGCGUUGUCCGGAAUUAUUGGGCGUAAAGCGCUCGUAGGCGGCUUGUCGCGUCGGAUGUGAAAGCCCGGGGCUUAACUCCGGGUCUGCAUUCGAUACGGGCAGGCUAGAGUGUUGCAGGGGAGACUGGAAUUCCUGGUGUAGCGGUGAAAUGCGCAGAUAUCAGGAGGAACACCGGUGGCGAAGGCGGGUCUCUGGGCAACAACUGACGCUGAGGAGCGAAAGCGUGGGGAGCGAACAGG
rnacentral:rRNA from 1 species